UGAGAUCUCUUUUUUUUCUAGUGGAUGACUAGCAAAACAAGAGCAAACCAAAAUGAAACAAAAUAAAAAUUAUUAAGUCAUAUCAAGCACACAUGUGGCAGAUACAUUUUGUGAUAGAUGACCAUUUUUAUAUAAAAACAUACAGCACACAGAGCAAGUGAAACAUGACAUGGAGGUAGAACCCAUUUACAGAUUGAAAUGGAGAAAUUGCCUCCAACAAAAGCAGAAACAGAUGGGAAAGCCUCAGAGGAGCUGUAUCCUAAAGGGAAAGCUCCAUCUAGCUCUAAGUGCUUUUGUCUCUGCUCUCAAUUGUCAGACAUUUUGCAAGAUAAACAGCAGCAUGCAAUGGGCUGGAGAAAGAAACAGCAGAAAGCACAGUCGAAAGAGCCCAGGGAACCAUCCAUCACAAAGCCAUCCUGCCUUAAAGUGAAAAGUGCAAUUCCCUAAGACUCUGACUGAACAUCCUGCUAAUUUUAGCAAAAUAAUAAAUAUGAAUAAGUCUUGUUUAUGAAACUGUCUGC
rnacentral:lncRNA from 1 species